CAAAAAAAGCGAGAAGGGACGUGUAAGACGCUUCUUACGCGUCACAACUUUUAUACCCGGCACUCAGUACUACUUCUGCACCUUAGCGGUUUUUUUCAAAUUUUACAUUUUUUCUUCAUCUGUCAUCUACAUC